UGUUAAAGGUUUUAUCCAUUUGUACUGUUAAAAAUUGAUGUGAUUGACGGAAUAUAACUAAAUAGUAAUACGUUGCGUGCCAUGUGUACAUCAUGCUAAUAUUUAAAGGCCAGUUUUUAACAGUAGAAAUAGACGAAACUUUUAAUU
rfam:Gossypium raimondii Chr04_contig_1090, whole genome shotgun sequence.